UCGCGGCUUAUCACCGGCAGUCCCCUUAGAGUGCCCAACUGAAUGAUGGCAACUAAGGGCGAGGGUUGCGCUCGUUGCGGGACUUAACCCAACAUCUCACGACACGAGCUGACGACAGCCAUGCAGCACCUGUGUUCCGAUUCCCUUUCAGGCACACCCACCUCUCAGCGGGCUCUCGGACAUGUCAAGGGUAGGUAAGGUUGUUCGCGUUGCAUCGAAUUAAUCCACAUCAUCCACCGCUUGUGCGGGUCCCCGUCAAUUCCUUUGAGUUUUAACCUUGCGGCCGUACUCCCCAGGCGGUCAACUUCACGCGUUAGCUACGGUACCCAGGAAUCGCUUCCCGAACACCCAGUUGACAUCGUUUAGGGCGUGGACUAC
rnacentral:misc_RNA from 1 species